GGACGGUUAGCUCAGCUGGGAGAGCACCUGCCUUACAAGCAGGGGGUCGGCGGUUCGAUCCCGUCACCGUCCA
rfam:Firmicutes bacterium MLFW-2 MLFW-2_Contig_7_85X, whole genome shotgun sequence.